CCGAUACGUAACCACUUGGUUACAGCGACACUUCUGCCGAGGACACUGCAAACCAGUGUGGCCACUGCAAAGCCCAAGAGCUUGGGAUAUUUAGCUAAAUUGUCUAUUGGUUGAGAAAGCAGGGAGUGUUCUAGAUUGGUAAACUAUGUCGGUGGAAUUUGUAAAUGUGAAUUGGGCCAAGUUGAAGGGACCCUCUGCAUACAUCAACAACAGCCACCAACGAAGUAUCGUUACCCAUCGCACCACAAAAGUCACGGCCCUUGCAGAGCAAGGGGAACAGCUACUUCAAGGCCUCAGAUUGACAACCAUGGACAAAGCGCCCACCUUACUGAAGCACAUUAUUCCUAUCAUUCUCUAUUGACCUCGGCCUUGAAGAGUACCUCCAGCUGAUGACCUAUGAUCUUAAGCAGGGUGCAGCGGUUCCCAAGUCUCUCUCUUGUGCGAGGACAACAAGGACAGGGCCACCGGUGGCAUCAUUUGUGAGGUGGCACUCAUGGGCACCGUCCAGGAGAUGUGCUACGGCGUCUUCUAAA